GAAAUGCGAUACGUAGUGUGAAUUGCAGAAUUCAGUGAAUCAUCGAAUCUUUGAACGCACAUUGCGCCCUUUGGUAUUCCAAAGGGCAUGCCUGUUCGAGCGUCAUCUAAACCUUCAAGCCCUGCUUGGUGUUGGGUGCCUGUCCCGCCUCCGCGCGCGGACUCACCUCAAAUCCAUUGGCGGCCCCCGCGUCGGCCACGAGCGCAGCAGAAACGCGAACUCGUGAGCCCGUCCGGGCGGCUCCCAGAAGCUACACCCACCCAGUUUGACCUCGGAUCAGGUAGGGAUACCCGCUGAACUUAAGC
rnacentral:misc_RNA from 1 species